UACAGAGGGGGCAAGCGUUGUUCGGAAUUACUGGGCGUAAAGGGCGCGUAGGCGGCCUGUUAAGUCGGACGUGAAAUCCCUCGGCUCAACCGGGGAACUGCGUCCGAUACUGGCGGGCUUGAAUUCGGGAGAGGGAUGUGGAAUUCCAGGUGUAGCGGUGAAAUGCGUAGAUAUCUGGAGGAACACCGGUGGCGAAGGCGACAUCCUGGACCGGUAUUGACGCUGAGGCGCGAAAGCCAGGGGAGCAAACGGG
rnacentral:rRNA from 1 species